AUUGAACGCUGGCGGCAGGCCUAACACAUGCAAGUCGAACGGUAACAGGAAGCAGCUUGCUGCUUUGCUGACGAGUGGCGGACGGGUGAGUAAUGUCUGGGAAACUGCCUGAUGGAGGGGGAUAACUACUGGAAACGGUAGCUAAUACCGCAUAACGUCGCAAGACCAAAGAGGGGGACCUUAGGGCCUCUUGCCAUCGGCUGUGCCCAGAUGGGAUUAGCUAGUAGGUGGGGUAACGGCUCACCUAGGCGACGAUCCCUAGCUGGUCUGAGAGGAUGACCAGCCACACUGGAACUGAGACACGGUCCAGACUCCUACGGGAGGCAGCAGUGGGGAAUAUUGCACAAUGGGCGCAAGCCUGAUGCAGCCAUGCCGCGUGUAUGAAGAAGGCCUUCGGGUUGUAAAGUACUUUCAGCGGGGAGGAAGGGAGUAAAGUUAAUACCUUUGCUCAUUGACGUUACCCGAAGAAGAAGCACCGGCUAACUCCGUG
rnacentral:rRNA from 1 species